rnacentral:rRNA from 1 species
AGCAGCCGCGGUAAUUCCAGCUCCAAUAGCGUAUAUUAAAGUUGUUGCAGUUAAAAAGCUCGUAGUUGAAUUUCGGGAUUGACACAUCGGUCGUGCCUUAAGGGGUAUGAACUGGUGUAGUCAAUUUCUCACCUUCUGGAGAACCGCGAUGCCCUUAAUUGGGUGUCGCGGGGAACCAGGACCUUUACUUUGAAAAAUUAGAGUGUUUAAAGCAGGCAUUUUGCUUGAAUACAUUAGCAUGGAAUAAUAAAAUAGGACGGCAUGAUUCUAUUUUGUUGGUUUCUAGGAUCACCGUAAUGAUUAAUAGGGAUAGUUGGGGGCAUUAGUAUUCAAUUGUCAGAGGUGAAAUUCUUGGAUUUAUUGAAGACUAACUACUGCGAAAGCAUUUGCCAAGGAUGUUUUCAUUAAUCAAGAACGAAAGUUAGGGGAUCGAAGACGAUCAGAUACCGUCGUAGUCUUAACCAUAAACUAUGCCGACUAGGAAUCGGACGAUGUUAAUUUUUAAUGACUCGUUUGGCAC